rnacentral:rRNA from 1 species
AUUGAACGCUGGCGGCAGGCCUAACACAUGCAAGUCGAACGAGCGGCGGACGGGUGAGUAAUGUCUGUGAAACUGCCCGAUGGAGGGGGAUAACUACUGGAAAUGGUAGCUAAUACCGCAUACCAUCGGAUGUGCCCAGAUGGGAUUAGCUAGUAGGUGGGGUAAAGGCUCACCUAGCCGACGAUCCCUAGCUGUUCUGAGAGGAAGACGAGCCACGCUGGAAGUGAGACGCGGACCAUACUCCUACGAGAGGCAGCUGUGGGGAAUAUGGCACAAUGGGCGCAAGCCUGAUGCAGCCAUGCCGCGUGUAUGAAGAAGGCAUUCGGGUUGUAAAGUACUUUCAGCGGGGAGGCGUUACCCGCAGAAGAAGCACCGGCUAACUCCGUGCCAGCAGCCGCGGUAAUUC